UGGUUAGUGGGGUAGUGGUUAAGACAUACGAUUACUGAUCGGAAGGGCACGAGUUCAAAUCCUGCCAAGCUAA